UGGGGGAUAUUGCACAAUGGAGGAAACUCUGAUGCAGCAACGCCGCGUGAGGGAAGAAGGUCUUCGGAUUGUAAACCUCAGUAGUCAGGGACGAAAGAAAUGACGGUACCUGAAGAGUAAGCUCCGGCUAACUACGUGCCAGCAGCCGCGGUAAUACGUAGGGAGCGAGCGUUGUCCGGAAUUACUGGGUGUAAAGGGUGCGUAGGCGGGCCUGCAAGUCAGGCGUGAAAUCCCGCGGCUUAACCGCGGGGGUGCGUUUGAAACUGUGGGUCUUGAGUGGAGUAGAGGCAGGCGGAAUUCCUAGUGUAGCGGUGAAAUGCGUAGAUAUUAGGAGGAACACCAGUGGCGAAGGCGGCCUGCUGGGCUUUAACUGACGCUGAUGCACGAAAGCAUGGGGAGCAAACAGG
rnacentral:rRNA from 2 species